AUUGAACGCUGGCGGCAGGCCUAACACAUGCAAGUCGAACGGUAACAGGAAGAAGCUUGCUUCUUUGCUGACGAGUGGCGGACGGGUGAGUAAUGUCUGGGAAACUGCCUGAUGGAGGGGGAUAACUACUGGAAACGGUAGCUAAUACCGCAUAACGUCGCAAGACCAAAAAGGGGGACCUUCGGGCCUCUUGCCAUCGGAUGUGCCCAGAUGGGAUUAGCUAGUAGGUGGGGUAACGGCUCACCUAGGCGACGAUCCCUAGCUGGUCUGAGAGGAUGACCAACCACACUGGAACUGAGACACGGUCCAGACUCCUACGGGAGGCAGCAGUGGGGAAUAUUGCACAAAGGGCGCAAGCCUGAUGCAGCCAUGCCGCGUGUAUGAAGAAGGCCUUCGGGUUGUAAAGUACUUUCAGCGGGGAGGAAGGGAGUAAAGUUAAUACCUUUGCUCAUUGACGUUACCCGCAGAAGAAGCACCGGCUAACUCCGUG
rnacentral:rRNA from 1 species